rnacentral:rRNA from 1 species
CCCUUAGAUGUCCGGGGCCGCACGCGCGCUACACUGAAGGAAUCAGCGUGGCUUUCUCCCUGACCCGAAAGGGUUGGGAAACCCGUUGAAUCUCCUUCGUGAUAGGGAUUGGGGCUUGAAAUUGUUCCCCAUGAACGAGGAAUUCCCAGUAAGCGCGAGUCAUAAGCUCGCGUUGAUUACGUCCCUGCCCUUUGUACACACCGCCCGUCGCUCCUACCGAUUGAGUGGUCCGGUGAGGCUUUGGGAUCUGAGCGGAAAGAGCGUUUCGCUGUUUCUGCUCGGAAAACUCAGUCGAACCUUAUCAUUUAGAGGAAGGAGAAGUCGUAACA